rnacentral:rRNA from 1 species
GACGAACGCUGGCGGCGUGCUUAACACAUGCAAGUCGAACGGAAAGGCCUCUUUCGGGGGGUACUCGAGUGGCGAACGGGUGAGUAACACGUGAGUAAACUGCCCUUGACUUUGGGAGAACUUCAGGAAACUGGGGCUAAUACCGGAUAGGAGCUCCUGCUGCAUGGUGGGGGUUGGAAAGAUUCGGCGGUUGGGGAUGGACUCGCGGCUUAUCAGCUUGUUGGUGGGGUAGUGGCUUACCAAGGCCUUGACGGGUAGCCGGCCUGUGAGGGUGACCGGCCACAUUGGGACUGAGAUACGGCCCAGACUCCUACGGGAGGCAGCAGUGGGGAAUAUUGCACAAUGGGUGGAAGCCUGAUGCAGCAACGCCGUGUGCGGGAUGACGGCCUUCGGGUUGUAAACCGCUUUCGCUCAUGACGAAGCUUUGUGUGACGGUAGUGGGUAAAGAAGCACCGGCUAACUACGUG